rnacentral:rRNA from 2 species
ACGGAAGGCAGCAGUGGGGAAUAUUGCACAAUGGGGGAAACCCUGAUGCAGCAACGCCGCGUGAGUGAAGAAGUAUUUCGGUAUGUAAAGCUCUAUCAGCAGGGAAGAUAAUGACGGUACCUGACUAAGAAGCACCGGCUAAAUACGUGCCAGCAGCCGCGGUAAUACGUAUGGUGCAAGCGUUAUCCGGAUUUACUGGGUGUAAAGGGAGCGUAGACGGCAAUGCAAGUCUGAUGUGAAAUCUCCGGGCUCAACCCGGAAACUGCAUUGGAAACUGUAUAGCUAGAGUGCAGGAGAGGUAAGCGGAAUUCCUAGUGUAGCGGUGAAAUGCGUAGAUAUUAGGAGGAACACCAGUGGCGAAGGCGGCUUACUGGACUGUAACUGACGUUGAGGCUCGAAAGCGUGGGGAGCAAACAGGAUUAGAUACCCUGGUA